rnacentral:misc_RNA from 1 species
GUGAAUCAUCAAAUUUUUGAACGCAAAUUGCACUCUCUUCGGAGAGUAUGAGUGUUUGAGGGUGAGCCUAAAAAAAAUCGAAAUAGUUGAAGAUAUGUGGUAAGAUUUGUCGGAAAUUGGGUGAUUUUAAAUCUUUGGGUUUAAGUGGUUUUAAAUUUUCGUUAUGAUUGAAAGAACGUUUUUAGGAUUUUAUUUAAUUAUAAGUUUAAGGUAUAGAUCUUUAUUUGAUGUGGCUGUUGUAUUGGAGUUUGUGCAUAAAUAUUUCGGUUAUUGA